CAGUAGCGUAUAUUAAAGUUGUUGCAGUUAAAAAGCUCGUAGUUGGAUUUCUGGUUGUAGCGUUGGGCCCACUGGGUUUUACUCAUGUGAGUGCCUGUCCGCUCCUUCCAUCCUUCUAGAGAACGGCUCUCUCCUUCAUUGGUUGUGGAGUCGCAAUCUAGAUCUUUUACUUUGAAAAAUUAGAGUGUUUAAAGCAGGCUUGUGCUAUGAAUACAUUAGCAUGGAAUAAUAAUUUAGGACUUUAGUUCUAUUUUGUUGGUUUCUAGAACUGAAGUAAUGAUUGAUAGGGAUAGUUGGGGGUGCUAGUAUUCAGCGGCCAGAGGUGAAAUUCUUGGAUUCGCUGAAGACUAACUUAUGCGAAAGCAUUCACCAAGGAUGUCUUCUUUAAUCAAGAACGAAAGUUGGGGGAUCGAAGACGAUUAGAUACCGU
rnacentral:rRNA from 1 species